rnacentral:rRNA from 1 species
UUUGGUUGAUUUUGCCAGUAGUCAUAUGCUUGUCUUAAAGAUUAAGCCAUGCAUGUCUAAGUAUAAAUAGUAUAUAGUGAAAUUGUGAAAGGUUUAUUAAAUUAGUUAUAGUUUAUUUGAUAAUUGAAUUCUACAAGGAUAACUGUAGUAAUUCUAGAGCUAAUACUUGUUGUAAACCUGAUUUUUUGGAAAGGUUGUAUUUAUUAGAUAGUAAAUCAAUAGCUUUUGGGCUGUUGUGAUGAUUCAUAAUAAUUGAUCUGAGCAAGGCUAGGCCUUGCUAAAUCAAUCAAGUUUCUGCCCUAUCAUUUUGAUGGUAGUGUAUUUGACUACCAUGAGGAUAAUGGGUAUGUGGAAUUAGGGUUUGAUUUGUGGAGAGGGAGUUUGAGAAAUGGCUACCAUUUCUAAGGAAGGUAGUAGGUGUGCAAAUUACCCAAUCCCGAUUUGGGGAGGUAGUGAUAAGAAAUAAUAAUUUGGGUCUCAUGAUUUUGAGAUUAAAAUGAGAAUAAUUUAAAAAAUUUAAUGAGGAAUAAUUGGAGGGUAAGUCUGGUGUUAGUAGUUGUGGUAAUUCCAGCUCCAAUAGUGUAUAUUAAAGUUGUUGUAGUUAAAAAGCUCGUAGUUGAUUUUCUAAGCGUCAACCACGACGGUUUUGGUUUUGUUGUUGGCUCUUAUCGGACCGAGAACUUCUCUCGGCCUUUAUUGGUCGAAGAUGUAAAUCGGUCAUUUUAUUGAGAAAAAAUUAGAGUGUUCAAAGUAGGCUUUAUGCCUUGAAUAUACAAGCUUGGAAUAAUAGAAUAAGACUAAAUUCUUUUUUGUUGGUUAUAAGGGUUUAGUAAUGAUUAAUAGAAACAGUUGGGGGCAUUAGUAUCUAAUUGUCAGAGGUGAAAUUUUUGGAUUUAUUAGAGACUAACUUAUGCGAAAGCAUUUGCCAAAGAUGUUUUUAAUUGAUCAAGAACGAAAGUUAGGGGAUUAAAGAUGAUUAGAUAUUGUUCUAGUCUUAAUUAUAAAUGAUUCCGACUAAGGAUUGGGAGGGUUCUUAAAAGCCCUCCCAGCACUUUAUGAGAAAUCAUAAGUCUUUAGGUUCCGGGGGAAGUAUGGAUAUAAGUUUGAAACUUAAAGGAAUUGACGGAAGGGUACACAAGGAGUGGAACUUGCGGCUUAAUUUGACCCAAUAUGGGGAAACUUACCAGGUUAAGAUAUGGGUAGGAUUGACAGAAAUGAGAGUUUUUUCUUGAUUCUAUGGGUGGUGGUGCAUGGCCGUUCUUAGUUGGUGGAGUGAUUUGUUUGGUUAAUUUUGUUAACGAACGAGACCUUACCCUGUUAAAUAGGAGCUGAAUGAAUAAUUUGGUAUCCUUCUUAGAGGGACUAUGUGUUCAAGCACAUGGAAGUUUGAGGUAAUAAUAGGUCUGUGAUGCCCCUAGACGUCCUGGGCCGCACGUGUGUUACAAUGACACAGGCAACGAGUUUGUCUUGUUUUGACAA